rnacentral:rRNA from 1 species
GGUGAACGCUGGCGGUAGGCCUAACACAUGCAAGUCGAACGGCAGCACAGUAAGAGCUUGCUCUUACGGGUGGCGAGUGGCGGACGGGUGAGGAAUACAUCGGAAUCUACUUUUUCGUGGGGGAUAACGUAGGGAAGCUUACGCUAAUACCGCAUACGACCUACGGGUGAAAGCAGGGGAUCUUCGGACCUUGCGCGAUUGAAUGAGCCGAUGUCGGAUUAGCUAGUUGGCGGGGUAAAGGCCCACCAAGGCGACGAUCCGUAGCUGGUCUGAGAGGAUGAUCAGCCACACUGGAACUGAGACACGGUCCAGACUCCUACGGGAGGCAGCAGUGGGGAAUAUUGGACAAUGGGCGCAAGCCUGAUCCAGCUAUACCGCGUGGGUGAAGAAGGCCUUCGGGUUGUAAAGCCCUUUUGUUGGGAAAGAAAAGCAGCAGGUUAAUACCCCGCUGUUCUGACGGUACCCAAAGAAUAAGCACCGGCUAACUUCGUG